rnacentral:rRNA from 1 species
UGGGGGAAUCUUGGACAAUGGGCGCAAGCCUGAUCCAGCCAUGCCGCGUGAGUGAUGAAGGCCCCUAGGGGUCGUAAAGCUCUUUCGCCAGAGAUGAUAAUGACAGUAUCUGGUAAAGAAACCCCGGCUAACUCCGUGCCAGCAGCCGCGGUAAUACGGAGGGGGUUAGCGUUGUUCGGAAUUACUGGGCGUAAAGCGUACGUAGGCGGAUUAGUUAGUCAGAGGUGAAAUCCCAGGGCUCAACCCUGGAACUGCCUUUGAUACUGCUAGUCUUGAGUUCGAGAGAGGUGAGUGGAAUUCCGAGUGUAGAGGUGAAAUUCGUAGAUAUUCGGAGGAACACCAGUGGCGAAGGCGGCUCACUGGCUCGAUACUGACGCUGAGGUACGAAAGUGUGGGGAGCAAACAGGAUUAGACUACCCCUGGUAG